CAGAGCCAAGAUCCCUGUGUGAAAUGUGGACCUAUAUUUACAUUAAACAUUCUAUCCAAGCAAAAGGCAUACCCACUGCCACUGUACCUCCCACUUCUCAUCUAUAUAAAGUCUCCGUCUGGCAGUGACAGUCUUUGGUCGUAAUGGACAGUUGGGUGAGGGCAAAUCUGGGAGAAAUAUGUUAAAACCUUGACAGCGAACUUCUUUUCUACUUGUUUUGUCAGUACAUCAAAAAGGUUACAAAAACCACAUCUGUUGACAGAAAGAAGGGGAACCGGCACAGCCACUGGUUGGAUCAGUUUCUGUCAGACUGCUUCAGAUCCUGUCUGGUGGGUUUUAGGUGCUGUGAAACUUCACUUGUUUAUGUGGAGGCACUUUCAGUGGAAGAAUAUGCAUUAGGAAUCAAUGUUUUCCACCCAACAGAUAGUUGCAAAAGGGCCUGUAACAUUUGAUUUGUUAACUGAAUAAUAAUCAAGAAAUAAAUGGCCAAUUAUUUUGCUAAUA